ACCCUCAGACUCCUUUUCCUAUCAGCUCUUGAUGCAGGUCUUGGUGGUCGCACAGGAGGAGGAGCACACCGAAGCUGGCCUCACAGCAAAGCACUCUCAUAUAGAGCAUCGGCCAGAUUCAAACAUGC